GUGAUAGAAGACCUUGUGGAACAGUGGGGACAUGGAGGGACCAUGCUGUCCACUUGGAAUGUGUAUAGCUAGACCUCUGUUCAAUAAAUGCCAAGUUUACAGGCUAUUAUCAGAGGAAGAAUAAAAAGAACUGCAUUCAGGCAAUGUGGUACUUGGCACUUGGUUGUAAUUCCAUGGUUCACAGUUCCCGUUUUUCAAAAUUUUCAGGAGGACACUGGGCAUACUGUUUGAGUAGAAAAAAGUGUGAUGUUUAUCCAUUUCCCUUCAUAGGGUACAAAAUAACAAAGUUACAAUAAGAGACAUUUCCUCUGUUUUCCAGUCUCCACAGCUUUAAGCAGAAACAUUCUGGGUGUGGUUUGACUUCUGGAACCGGUGGCUCUUUGUGGGGCUUCACAAGGCCUACUGGGUGUGGCCAAGACAUUUUCCCCUUAAAAACAUAUCAGAGUAAAAAUUACCAACAGUUUCAGGAGAUCCCUGGCCCAGCAUUCAAGUGAGCAGGGUGCCGCUGUAUCUAUGUGGAAAUCCAGGCAGCCGGGGAAUGCGGGGGGAAUCGAGUGCGGAGCCCGUGACUCAAGCCGGGACAUGUGUGAUCCUCUGAGCGGUGAGAGGGUCAUGUGAAUCCCAGGCUGGACCGCCGCGCCCAGGGACACGGCACUCCUCCCUCCCGGCUGACGCUCAGCCCCUCCCUUCCUCAGUCCAGGCCUCGAUCUUCAGGCUUUUUCUGGGGAUACCCACUAUUUAUGUGGGCAGAGCGUUGCCAUGGCUGCUAAUAACAAACUUAACGUCUGCCGUUUCUGCAACCGCGGCCCGCGGCGGCCCGGCAGGACCAGGGACUCUGACUUCGGUUGUUGUCAUCGUUUUUGCAGCU